GACGAACGCUGGCGGCGUGCUUAACACAUGCAAGUCGAGCGGUAAGGCCCUUUCGGGGGUACACGAGCGGCGAACGGGUGAGUAACACGUGGGUGACCUGCCCUCAGCUCUGGGAUAAGCCUGGGAAACCGGGUCUAAUACUGGAUAUGACUCCAUGACGCAUGUUGUGGGGUGGAAAGCCUUGUGCGGCUGAGGAUGGGCCCGCGGCCUAUCAGCUUGUUGGUGGGGUGANGGCCUACCAGGGCGACGACGGGUAGCCGGCCUGAGAGGGCGACCGGCCACACUGGGACUGAGACACGGCCCAGACUCCUACGGGAGGCAGCAGUGGGGAAUCUUGCGCAAUGGGCGAAAGCCUGACGCAGCGACGCCGCGUGAGGGAUGACGGCCU
rnacentral:rRNA from 1 species